rnacentral:lncRNA from 1 species
ACAAACUCUCUAACGACCUCAUUAAUCUCCUCCAGGUAAAUUUUGAUUUUCAGACUCUAGGCUCAUAUUAGAGUGAGACUCUCGGUGGGAACUUGCCAGUUCUCCAACGAGAACUCUAGUUUCCAUCCAGUCCAAACUUUCUAGUUCCUCACUAAUCCUCAUGUUCUCUUUUCUAUUUUUUCCGCAUCCUGUUCUUAAGACUCGAACUGAUUUUAGCAUCGGAGGAUCAAGAAUC